rnacentral:rRNA from 1 species
UACGUAGGGUGCGAGCGUUGUCCGGAAUUAUUGGGCGUAAAGGGCUCGUAGGCGGUUUGUCGCGUCGGGAGUGAAAACUCAGGGCUUAACCCUGAGCCUGCUUCCGAUACGGGCAGACUAGAGGUAUGCAGGGGAGAACGGAAUUCCUGGUGUAGCGGUGAAAUGCGCAGAUAUCAGGAAGAACACCAAUGGCGAAAGCAGCUCUCUGGGACGGUACUGACGCUGAGACGCGAAAGCGUGGGGAGCGAACAGG